rfam:Triticum aestivum genome assembly, contig: Triticum_aestivum_CS42_TGACv1_scaffold_573792_7AS
UCAUUCGGAUUCGCCAUCAUACGUCCAACCGUGCAUUUGAUAUGCAUAUAUAUGCAUCACGAGCCACGGUUAGGCUGUAUGAUGGCGAUACCGAUUGG